rfam:Picea glauca, whole genome shotgun sequence.
UGCCUAAAACAUAGCAUUAAUGCAGUGGAUCCCAUCAGAACUCAGUAGUUAAGCACACUCAGGCUAGAGUAGUACUGGGAUGGGUGAUCACUCAAGAAGUCCUAGUUUUUUACAUGC